GCCUCGGAGUCUCGAGCAACUUGGUCAGCUCCCGAAGGAAGCCGGAGAAGGGAGGGGAUUCGAGCUGCUGCCGCAUGACCAGGGUUGGGAUGCACUGGUCAGCC
rnacentral:SRP_RNA from 14 species